rnacentral:rRNA from 1 species
UCCUACGGGAGGCAGCAGUGGGGAAUAUUGCGCAAUGGGCGAAAGCCUGACGCAGCGACGCCGCGUGGGUGAUGAAGGCCUUCGGGUCGUAAAGCCCUGUCAAGAGGGACGAAACCUCGUCGACCUAACACGUCGGCGACCUGACGGUACCUCUGAAGGAAGCACCGGCUAACUCCGUGCCAGCAGCCGCGGUA